rnacentral:rRNA from 1 species
GACGAAAGUCUGACCGAGCAACGCCGCGUGAGUGAAGAAGGUUUUCGGAUCGUAAAGCUCUGUUGUAAGAGAAGAACGAGUGUGAGAGUGGAAAGUUCACACUGUGACGGUAUCUUACCAGAAAGGGACGGCUAACUACGUGCCAGCAGCCGCGGUAAUACGUAGGUCCCGAGCGUUGUCCGGAUUUAUUGGGCGUAAAGCGAGCGCAGGCGGUUAGAUAAGUCUGAAGUUAAAGGCUGUGGCUUAACCAUAGUACGCUUUGGAAACUGUUUAACUUGAGUGCAAGAGGGGAGAGUGGAAUUCCAUGUGUAGCGGUGAAAUGCGUAGAUAUAUGGAGGAACACCGGUGGCGAAAGCGGCUCUCUGGCUUGUAACUGACGCUGAGGCUCGAAAGCGUGGGGAGCAAACAGGAUUAGAUACCCUGGUAGUCCACGCCGUAAACGAUGAGUGCUAGGUGUUAGACCCUUUCCGGGGUUUAGUGCCGUAGCUAACGCAUUAAGCACUCCGCCUGGGGAGUACGACCGCAAGGUUGAAACUCAAAGGAAUUGACGGGGGCCCGCACAAGCGGUGGAGCAUG